rnacentral:lncRNA from 1 species
AGUGAUCGGAUCACAAUGCCUGCUGGUGGUUGUUUAUGUUCACUUGUGAUCCGAUCGCGACAUUUUGAAACAAAGUGUGAACGGGGUCUAUAUGUCAGUUGAAUCUGCCAACACGUUGAUCUUUAGAACUUCCACUAAGAAAGAUUAACAGAGUAAUAAGAACUUGGCUUUCCCCUCCUUUCAUUGAUGUCCUGUGGGCCUCAACACGUGUGUUAUUCAGUUUUUGAAACAGGGUGAUGAUUGCACAUGCAGUGACCUAACAUGUUUUUGGUUCACAUCUAUUUUCCUGGUACUGAAAAUCAGUUGGAAGAAAAGCUGCUGGAUGUCUGACAGAGAGAAAAAAGGAAAAGUUCACAGCACUUCAGUCUGAACUGUGUUUCUCAAGUGGAGCAAAACAUGGCGGUAAGUCCGCAGAGUGUCAUGGUGCUUUACUCUCGCUCAUCCGUCUGUCCCCAGUUUAAUGGACUGUAUAUGAACUGAAGGGCUUAAACAUGUUAAUGCUUUUUCGUUUGUCGCCAUACUCCACUCUGAACGGCAGAUCUCAGUGAGGGAAACAGGGAUGAAUCUCUAACACGGACCUUCGACCACACACAGAUCCUCUAAUGGCUCAGUAAACACUCACUGCGAGCUGAAAACACGGGCAGACUGAUGCUUCCUCGCCUCACACUCAUGUGUGGGUGGUCUGCCGUAGGUUUGAUCACUUCCUGCAGCAGCUGACAUCAGCAAAGCUAAAUUCUACUUUAUUGUACAUCCAGGAAAUAAAUACUCAAGUUCAGCUUUAGAGCAGACAUAAAAGGAAAGUAAUGUGUCGUUGUCCAGAGAUGGAAACUAUGUCUUCUUUAAAAUUCCCUCUGCAUCUUAAUCAGUGUGGCUGAAAGUUUAAGUGAAUGUGCAAAAGAAAAGCUGAAGCUGAAGGUGAAGGUGCCGAGAUGACAUAUUUUAAAAAGCACCAGUCGGACCUCAAACUGGACAUAUCUGCAGUUACUCGAGACGGGAUGCAGGAGCGGCUGUGAACCAGCAGGUGGAGCUGUUGUUCUGUGUUCAGCAGGCAGAUGAUGAAGCCUUACAUCCUGCAG